UCGGGAAUUUUGGGCAAUGGGCGAAAGCCUGACCCAGCAACGCCGCGUGAAGGAUGAAGUAUUUCGGUAUGUAAACUUCGAAAGAAUAGGAAGAAUAAAUGACGGUACCAUUUAUAAGCUCCGGCUAACUACGUGCCAGCAGCCGCGGUAAUACGUAGGGAGCAAGCGUUGUUCGGAUUUACUGGGCGUAAAGGGCGCGUAGGCGGCGCGGUAAGUCACUUGUGAAAUCUCUGAGCUUAACUCAGAACGGCCAAGUGAUACUGCAGUGCUAGAGUGCAGAAGGGGCAAUCGGAAUUCUUGGUGUAGCGGUGAAAUGCGUAGAUAUCAAGAGGAACACCUGAGGUGAAGACGGGUUGCUGGGCUGACACUGACGCUGAGGCGCGAAAGCCAGGGGAGCAAACGGGAUUAGAUACCCCCGUAGUCCCUGAGCGGGCUGGCAAGGCGCAU
rnacentral:rRNA from 1 species